rnacentral:rRNA from 1 species
CACCGCGGUUAUACGGGUGGCCCAAGUUGAUAGACGCCGGCGUAAAGCGUGGUUAAGAAGUACUAAGACUAAAGCCGAACGCCCUCAAAGCAGUUAUACGCAUCCGACGGUAUGAAGCCCCACCACGAAAGUGGCUUUAAAAAAUCUGACUCCACGAAAGCUAUUAAA